rnacentral:rRNA from 1 species
UACGUAGGGCGCAAGCGUUGUCCGGAAUUAUUGGGCGUAAAGAGCUCGUAGGCGGCCUGUUGCGUCCGCUGUGAAAUCCCGGGGCUCAACCCCGGGCGUGCAGUGGAUACGGGCUGGCUGGAGGCAGGCAGGGGAGAACGGAAUUCCUGGUGUAGCGGUGAAAUGCGCAGAUAUCAGGAGGAACACCGGUGGCGAAGGCGGGUCUCUGGGCCGAUACUGACGCUGAGGAGCGAAAGCGUGGGGAGCAAACAGG